rnacentral:lncRNA from 1 species
AAUUCUGAUGGUUUAUCUCCCACCAAAAAAUUUCAGACGGUACAGAUAAGCAUUGCACAUUUCUUUACCAUUCUUCAUGUUAGCACCGUCAUCGCAUAUGGUGUUCUAAUGUUGAAAUAUUUUUAGGAGGUCUCGGAGAAAAAAGUUGCACACACUCGUGGGUGAAGUAUAUUGCAUACGUGCACUCAUAAUUUAUAACAUUAAGAAGAACAAUCAUGAAGACAGGCCAUUGAAAAAAAAAAGGCCCCAAUGAAUAUCAGUGCACUGUGCUUCACCAAUGCACCAAGGAUAAAAUACACACAAAAACAUAUCUUAAAAAGGUGUUGUUUUUUCUUAAGGCCUUAUUAGGUUUGGAACCAAUCCCAUUGAAUUAAGAAGAAUUAAGCAAUCUCGAGGACAAAAAUGAACGACAAAUCUACAAUCCCUCUCUUUUUUUUGAGGGAAAUCUACAAUCCCAAGAGGCCCAACAGGCCCUAAGGCGAACCAAAGUCUCGAUAAGUGGAAUAAACGACGGAAGGCAAGGUUCCUGUAACGGCCCAUUUGAGGCCUACCAAAGCCCAACACCACGGAGUUCGCAGAUAUCCGCACUCCACAAGAUCACAGCCGUCCGAUAAAGCUAGGGUUUCAUCCUUUGGUAUAUAAUCGUCCUCGCAACCCCGCUUGCAAAACCUUAGUCGCGCGAACUCCCACCCCUGCCUCCUGCCCCCCUGCGAGAGCCGCCGCCGCCGCAGCCGCCGACCGCAGCCAUGGUGAGCUCUCACGUCUCGCCUCUCCGCCCGCGUGCUCUCUCUCCGCCGUAUUUCUUCGCUGACGUUUCCGGUGCUUUUGGUCGCAGUCUCUGAUCGCGGGUGAGGAGUUCCAGCACAUCCUGCGUCUGCUCAACACCAACGUCGAUGGGAAGCAGAAGAUCAUGUUCGCGCUGACCUCCAUCAAGGGUGUGGGCCGCCGCUUCUCCAACAUCGUCUGCAAGAAGGCCGACAUCGACAUGAACAAGAGGCAAGGAACCCUCCUUCUCCUCCUUCCUCUUUCCCCCUGUCAGAUCUCGUCAUGGUGGUGCGUGAGUCUGAGCCGUGUGUUGUGUUUUGUGCGAGUGCAGGGCUGGAGAGCUCACGCCGGAGGAGUUGGACCGGCUGAUGCAUGUGGUGGCCAACCCGCGCCAGUUCAAGGUCCCCGACUGGUUCCUUAACAGGAAGAAGGACUACAAGGACGGCAGGUUCUCCCAGGUCGUCUCCAACGCCCUCGACAUGAAGCUCAGGGACGACCUCGAGAGGCUCAAGAAGAUCAGGUUUGAUGAAUGCGUCCUUUUUUUUGUUUCUGCCUGCUACUGUUACUCAUAUUGGUUGUUUUAUGGUGAUGUAUUAGAUACUACUAUUGCUGGCAGUCGCACCUGACAUUGUAGAAUGCUUAAGUAGCAAUAGCAUUUGGUGCGCUAUACUAUACUAUACAGUUUAGCUCUUGUACUAAAUUAGCGAGGGUUGUGUAUAGGCAUCGUGGGCUGCUCGAGGCCAAUCUUGCAAAAAUUAUAAUGCCUGAAAUGCGUGGGUAGUGAAUCUGACUUUCUUCAUUUUAGAGUGUGUUCUGCACGGUUUUAGACAUGCAUGUGUUAGCAUUUGAGUCUAUGCUUCCAUCUACAUAAUUAAGCUGUGAUGCAACUACAUGUAGUUCCUGGAGGUAUAUUGUGCGAUUGUGUGGGUGGCCUGGUGAGUUUUCACCUGUCUGAUAUUAUAUUGGUCUCAAUUAUGUCAUGUGUAUUCAUUCUAGCUCUAGCUUUCGUUAAUAAAAGUUCAAUUUGGUCAUUGGUUAGACUCAGUUUGAGCGCAUUACUUGUAGAUGCAGACAGCCCUAUAUCCCAGUAGUUCAGUUCUGUAUCGGUGAGGGAUGGCUGUUUUUUGUGUUCGAUCCAUGCUGUAAUAUAAGAAAAAAAACUGGUUAGCAACAUAAACAAUAGCAUAGAAUCAACAAUCCUUCAAUGACGAAUAGAUAAUUACCCAGAAGGUUGUGAGGACAGUCUUCCCGUGGACAUCCUCGGCAACGAGUCUGAUCUUACUGGAUAAUUGAUAAUUAUGUUUGUUUGUCAAUUUUCUUCAUGCAUGCUCUUGCAGUAUCCUUUGUAUGUGAAUAUGUGAUCUAAAGUCCCCAUUGUUUCCAAGAGCUGCAUGAUGUUCCCUGUGGCCCAGGCCUUGAACUUUAGGAUGCCAGUCACAUGACCUAGUGUGUAAUUAUAUGAGAUCUCUUAUGCUCACACAUUGUCUUCUCCAGGAACCAUCGUGGUCUGCGUCACUACUGGGGUGUUCGUGUUCGUGGACAGCACACCAAGACUACUGGCAGGAGAGGAAAGACUGUUGGUGUCUCCAAGAAGCGAUAAGCUUUAUGUUGACCUCGCAUAUCUUGUCCCUACAUCUGUGUUGGUCAUUUGGAGAGUCUUAAUGAAGUGUCCCCGUUUAGACUAUAACCUUGGAUGAUGUUUUGCCCUAGAUACUAUUUUGCAGUUCUGCAACUUCAAUAUAUUGUAUCCUGAAUUCCUUUUUGAACUCCAAGAGUACUUUCGUUCCCAUGAUCCUGUUGUGGAUCGUCUCCUUUCAAUGUUUGAUGCAGAUGCAUGGCUUAGAGCUUAUAAGUGUUUUGCCCGUUUCUGUGCGCAAUCAUUUCAGUCAAUGCAUCUCAAUGCUGUCUGCUGUGAUGUCCCAGCUCUUUGCCAAGGUUUGGAAAUGCUUUUGAUCUUAACGGGCACCUUUCAUGUUCUUUCUGUUGAUCGUAUUUAUUCCACUCUGGCAUUUGGUAUUAUGAUAGAGCACAAAAAUUGUGGUGGGUGUACCGUGUAUGGCGGCUGUGCUUGUGCAAAAUGGUUCGGUCGCUGGCAUGCUUGAGUGUCUGGCUGAGUUGCCACUCAGGAUUAUCGUUAGAUUUUUUGACACUGUACUAGAACAAUUUUGAGAUGGGACUCGUGGACUCAGGCCUGUGCUUAUGAGUUCUGAAAUUGACAUUUUGUAACCUGCAACCUGUUUCGUUACGGAAUUCGCAGCUGGCAUGUUGGUGUAUGAUUUCUCCACUCAGCGUCCUCAGGAUUAUGGCUAGAUCAGCUUUGCCACUUUAGAAGCAUUUUACAUAUCCUGCCUUUACCACUUCCUAAACUAUAUACACAUUUGCUGGAGAGGUUUGUGGAAGACUGCCAAGUGCAUGAUGACAGUGCUAACUGCAAGCUAGAGGAGUCACGCAGGCGUAGCUCUGAGUAUUUUUCUUCUCACUCGCUUUAUCUUUUCUCUAUUCUCUGUGCCUGCUGUACAUUGUGAUUUGUUAAUUUGGGUGGUCUCACAGCUUAGCAAUCUCGAGGUGUCACGUAGCUCCAAUUUCUAGUUUUUGUGCAUCAUCAUGUUUGUUCCUCGACUAUCGUUGAUUCGUUUCUGCCUACCACUGCAACUUGCUGUUCUAAGUUUUAAAGUAGCAUCACCAACACGAUAAAUUCAAUACGGAGUGGAGUAGAUCUUAACAGAAAGUUGCCAGGAGUUUAUUUUUACUUCUAAGUGGUCGUCCUAAUCAACAUCCAGAUUGGCUUAUAAGUAUGGCCUUUACACCAUACGAAGGUAGACGUUGACUUCAGUGUAUAAGUUCCUGUAAUAAAAAAAAAUAUCAUCGUACCAAAAAGCUAUAUACAGUAGAAAAUUUUAUUGUUUUUAACUUCCUGGAUACGGGGAGCGGUAGAAUACAAAGCACGAGCAGCGUCCGCGUCGCUCCAGGAGGGGCGGCUCGGGCGUGACCUAAGCGCCGCCGCCGCCAGACCCCUCCACCCUUCCUCCUGUCCCUCGCCGCCGCCGGAUGACGCUGCCGGGCUAAGCCCGUGUGGGCGACGGUGGCGGCGGGGCUUGGCUGGCAUCUGGAAGUGGCGAAGGGGCGCGGGUCGGCGGCGGCGGCUCUGGCAACCCUUGGUCUUGUGGCGGCGGCGCGCAGCUGCUAGGAAGGCUGCAAGCAGGCUGCGGGCCUGGAUCUGGGCCGGCUACGGGCUGGAUCUGAGUCGUCCCGGGGAGGGCGUGCGGCCGUGUGCAGGUGACUGGGCUCCGACGACUGUGCUCUCUGUGCUCCGUGGAAGGGUUUCGGCGCUGUGUGGCAGUGCGGAGGCGCUGCCAUCGCUGAACUCGAUGGUUCACAUGGGCAGCGGCUUGUUGUUCCCUGCGUUGAUGGUGGGCUGCAAGGUGAUGGAAGACAGUGUGGUCUGUGACAGUUGCAACUUCGGCAGGUUCCGGGGUUUGCCUUCAUUGGCAUCUGAUCUGAGUUCCGGCGGGUCAUGGGUUAGCCUGUGUUUGGUUUGAGGUGCUGUGGCCUUCUGGUGUUGUCUGGGCAUGGUUCCACGGCGAGCUGCUGAGGUGAGUUCUGUGGAAAGCUGCUGAUUUGAAGUGCCAACACAUGUUUGGGGGCUUGUCUGUGUGAUGAAGGUAGUAGGCGUGCGUCUGCCAUGUCACGGCGUGAUCAGAGCUUCAGUGUUGAGAGGUCUCUUCUGUGUCCAUAUAUGGUGAAGUCGGAGUCGCCGGUCCGAGGGAGCGAGGGACUGUUUGUCGAUGACGAUGCCAACGUGGCGGACGUGUCGGGUGCCUCUUGCAACUUGAUGGUGAUGGUGCCUCGUGAUUGGAAGUUGAUGUGAAGCUUGUCACCAGAUUCGAAGUGGCCUUGUUGGCGUGUUGGUCGAUUGUUUGGCAUAGGCCGGUGCAAGUUCUAGGUGGCUGUUGCGGCGAAGGCUCUGUUGGUGGUCAUUUGUGGUGAAGUCGGAGUCGCCAGCUCGGGGAGUGAUGUGUGAUGACGAUGACACCUGCGGGCAACCUCAACGACGGUCAUUUCCCAGCAGUUUGUGUGGAGUGUGUAUGGGUAGCCAGGUCGGCUAGUGGUGUCCUCGGGGCCAUACCGGUUUUUGCCCGGUUUUUCAUAAAUUAACCGGGCGUAGAAACUUCUUCUUUUUUAAUGAGACGAGGCAAAGCUUUUGCCUCCGUUUCGAAAAAAAAAACUUCCUGGAUACAAAUAUAAAUCCUGAAAGGAAUUCUGUGACUAUCAUCCAACGCUGGCUCUAGAACAGUGACCCAGAAGACUCGGUGACAAGUUGGGUGUAUACCAAGGUUGGAACCUUUCUUUUGAGUGUGCUUUACUGGCCUAAUGCAGCGUGAUGCUUCACCCAUGAUACAUCCAUAAAGGCCUAGUAGUGAUCUAUGCAUUGCCCAUGAAAGAAACACAAGUAACCCAUCCAUCUAUGGACAAAUUCUAAACCAACUGGGCACCACCCGCGGGUGGUGAUGCUGCUGGACUCCAAUUGCGCCAAUUUGCACGACGUAUCCCGCGGGUCUCCCCCCGGUGACGUGAGGACGAUGCGGCUGCGUCAUAACUCAUAAUUCAUGGCCCGUAGCUUUCCGUUGCGCAACACAUUUGGUUUGGAUUUGAAGAAUGCCAGGUGUUUCUUCACAUAUGGACCGUCUUCUUUAGAGGACAUGUUAAUCACAUGGUUACGAGGACAUGUGAAUCACAACAUGACACGGUAAUCUUUUCUCCGAUGUGAGAAGUCUCUUGAACUCAAUUGGUUGGUGGGUUAGCAUCUUGGUUCAUCUCCUUACGUACUCUGUCGUACCAGAAUUAUGUGGCUGGGAGUUUUGUGCCAUAGGGACUCUCAUGAAUUCUGUCCAUAGUUCCAUAUGGACGAGGGGGGUGCCAAUGGCCAAGUCAUUUCUAGAAAUUAUGGAACAAAGAGAGGAAAUAACCAAAGGAGAGUGGACCCUUUACUACCCAAUUGGCCCCCGAAUAGCAUGGCUGCGUGGAAUUGGAAUGAGAUGCAAGUGCAACACGCCCAACUCAACCGGAAUCAUAUGUGCAUUUCCAGUCGCCAAGACUUUGGGAGAACCUACAUUUCCGAUUCCCCCAUAUCUCCGGACACAUUCCACACAUAUCAUUCCGAACCGUCUCUCCUCUAUAAAAUCCCACAUAACCCUCUGCCCGAAUGUCAUAACAGCGUGGACGAAAUUCCCCAGCCGCUUCUUCGCUCGCUCAGUACUCCAAUCAGGUGUGAAAACAAAGUCUUAUACUGCCUUCUCCUUAAAUUUGAAAUCUGAUUGUUCUAACGUUAUAUACAUGAUCAAGAAAAGGUUAUAUUGUUCUCGACUUUGUAGUUCUAAAUGUUCCCUUCUAGAGCUUUUGUACACGUCUGUGCAUCUGUGAUGAUAUCUAUCUUUAAUUAAUCCAGGCUUUGAACUGAAAAUAUUGGCUUCAUUAUCAUAUCUGUUGUGAUAGUGCUUUACUGGCCUACUCUUAUUUUUUUUCAUUCUUUUUAGAGCAUCACAAAAACAAGCAACAAAAAGAACAAUAAUGCAGGUAUUGUAAAAUCUGGAAUCUUGAGAUUGUGGAAUGUAGGCAGCUAAACCACUUUCAAUCCAUCUAUGAUUUUUCUAGGUGGUGUCGGAUUGUCUUGCUCCCCCAAUUCUUCCUGCUUUUCAGCAAGGUGCACUCGGCUUGCUGGAACUUAUGCCUUCUUAUCCUAUAGCUGACAUAAUAUAAAACUGUACUCACAAGUUCAUUUAAUUAUCCCUGAUUUAGAGUCUGCACUGCCCACAUAUAUAUAUCAUGGCAUGUGAUCUCUCUCUUCUCCACAUGAGACAACAAUAUAUUUUUUAGGUGAUUAUUUUCUUUCAAGGCGAGUCACAAAAAUAGAUAUGGCAUAUGCUUCACAUGCCGCAGUGCCUGCCUGGACCAGGUCCAAGUUUGGCCGAUAAAUCGUCUCAUUUUUUCUUAAUUUUUCUACCACAUUUUUCUUAUUUUAAAAAUUAAUUUUGUGUUACGAUCUGAAUGCGAAACCGGGUUAGCUGAAUAAUUCCCCAGCGUUUCACGGUCUGAGUCAGCCACGUGCUUUUUCCAACUUGUUCAUCUCCUGAUCUUGGCCGUGGAAUCGUACUAUUUGUAUUUCAGCCGUCUUUAAAUGGAUAUAAGGUAGAGAAUCAUCCAUCUUUCGCUUCAAAUUUUUUUAUCUUGUCAGCGGUCACAUGUGCUUGUUCAUCGUCAGCAUAUCAUCAACUGCAUAUGGCUGGCAAGCUUCAGUACAGGCACAGCCGAGUACAUGCAUAACGGAAUGAGUAAUCGGUUAUUGCUGCAUGGAGAGGAACACGCCUUUUACCGAUUCUUGGCUGAAUUGCAUGAUGUUUUCAAGAAAUAAAAAAAAACAAUCAGAGAUGAUAUUUAGUAAUUAAAAUAUUAAUAAAGGUAGUAAUAAAUUUGAUCGAUAUAAUUAAUGAUGAGUAAAUUAAAAUAUUAAUAAUAUAUUAAUAAAAUAAAUAUGUUGAUGAACUAAUAAUAUUUUAAAAUAGCGAUACUCAAUUAAUAUUGAAAUAAAAUUUGAUUGAUAUUGAUUUUUUUGGCUCGGUAUAGAAGCUGUGAUAGCUCUGUGUGACUGUGUGCCUAUAUAUAGUUACUACCUACCUGCCCUGAAAGGCUGAAACUCCUCCAAUAGUCUUUGCGCUGCUCCCCUGUUUGCUCGUCAGUCGCCACUAACACUUUACUGCGACUUGGUAAUAUUAAAGGUAGAUUAUCCUUGGUUCUUUGGGUUACCUGAUCAUUCUGUCUCUUGCGAUUACUUUGCUUGCGUUAUUGCUCAUCGUCCCGUCUGGUCUAAUGAUCCGUUUCAGGUGCGGCUCUGAAGGGGCAUUUCGUCGAACAGGAUGAAUGCACUGGCAGCGACCAGCAGGAACUUCAAGCAGGCGGCCAAACUGCUGGGUCUGGACUCCAAGCUGGAGAAGAGCUUGCUCAUCCCGUUCAGGGAGAUCAAGGUAAACGAUCCAUCUUGUUUUUUUCUGGAUGUGGAGAGUGAAUCUGGACGGGCAUGUAUGCCGUUCUUGGUUUAUGGAGCUCAGAGAUUAUUCAAAACUUUCACCUUGGGCCUUGGGGAAGUUGACCCAUGAUUAUUGUUUCACCUGGUCCAUAGAUUUAUGAGUCCUUAGCCAAGCAACUAGAUAUUUUUGGUAUUUUUUUUGUUUACUACUCCACUUAACAUGAUUUUUCCCCAUUACUCUCUCUUGCUUGCUGCGUCUAUAUUAAGUUAUUCAGAGUGAUAUUCCUGCUGAAUAAGGCAACAAAGUUCCUGAACCUGAAUCAUUUACUCUGUAAGGUCAAGCCGUGUGCAGGAUCCUUCAAACUUAUGAUCAUGCUUCCGGUGAAGUGUAUGUCCCAUUCUUCACUAACAUGGAGUUCUGUGUGGUUGCAGGUUGAAUGCACAAUUCCGAAAGAUGAUGGGACAUUAGCAUCCUAUGUGGGGUUCAGGGUGCAACAUGACAAUGCCAGGGGUCCUAUGAAGGGUGGAAUCAGAUACCACCAUGAGGUGAGCAAAUACAUAUAUUCCUGGGUUCUUCUGUUCAUCAUGAUAAAACCAUUCAGUACUUGAUUCUUGCUGCACUGUUGCAGACUUGACAUGGUCCUUCGGCAUAAAUUCCUCUUUCUUCAGGAAUCUGUCAUACUUAGCAUAAUCCGGUAGUUGAGAUAACUAAUUGUUCAACUUUUGAAUUAGUUUUGCAAUAUCUACCUUCAAUAGUACAGGCAAAGUUAUCAUAAAUUAGUUUCUGGUGCAUUGUAGAUUAGUUUCUGUAGAGGGCCUUCAUGUGUAUGCACCAACACCGGCUUCAGAAACUGAAAUCAAGAUUGUCUAUUGCAGUAGUACAUUCUUGCACUGAAAAGCUAUGAUAAAAUUCAGGUUGAUCCUGACGAGGUCAAUGCGUUGGCACAACUAAUGACAUGGAAAACGGCGGUGGCUAAUAUCCCAUAUGGAGGAGCUAAAGGUGGCAUAGGAUGCAGCCCUGGAGAUCUGAGCAUAUCAGAGCUCGAGCGACUUACCCGAGUUUUCACCCAGAAAAUCCACGACUUAAUCGGCAUCCACACCGAUGUUCCGGCUCCUGAUAUGGGAACCAAUGCGCAGGUCAUUUUGUUUUCUAUGUAUAUUUGCUGAGAAAAAUCCAAUCUGUAACCUGAUAUGGUUUCUUUUACUUGUUGCUUGGAGGCAGACAAUGGCAUGGAUGCUGGAUGAGUACUCCAAGUUUCAUGGUUACUCGCCUGCUGUGGUGACAGGGAAGCCUGUUGUAAGUCUCAAUCCUUCAGCUCUAUCAUGUUAAUGCGCAAUGCAGUUGAUGUUUCCAGAUGAAAAUUGGAAGAUAUCCUCAAGAAUUCAACAAUAAUUUUUUGUCAAGACUAUGAUGUUUAGUAAAACAUAAUGGUUCCUCAGAUGGAAAUGCCAGGGUUUGAUUGUUCAGAGGAAGUUAGUUUCUAGUUAUCCUACACAUGUCCAUGAACUUUGUUGCUCAAUACAGGACCUUGGAGGAUCUCUGGGAAGAGAUGCGGCUACUGGAAGGGGAGUUCUGUUUGCUACUGAAGCCUUACUAGCAGAGCAUGGUAAAGGCAUUGCAGGCCAGAGGUUUGUAAUACAGGUAAAUGAUGUGUGACUUAACCUCUUUGUCCUUAAAAUAUGAGAAAAUUAGAACCCAGUGCAGUAUGAUCAUGAAAUCACUGUAAGCAUGCAGCAUAAACUAAGGAUUUCUUAAAUAUUUCUUUUUACAGAAAAGUAAACGUCAGUGGAUUGCAUAAUACUAUCUGCUUCUCAACUGUUGAUUACAAAAUUAAAUUUGCUAAAGUGUUUUAUCCAGUGAUCUGCAAAGGCUGUCUGACAGAGAUGAGAAACUACUAUAUCCCCUUAUCAUAUCUGCAUUUUCAGGGAUUCGGCAAUGUUGGCUCCUGGGCUGCUCAACUGAUCACUGAAGCGGGCGGCAAGGUGAUCGCCAUCAGUGAUGUCACAGGAGCUAUCAAGAACAGCAAUGGCCUCGACAUCCCCGAGCUAGUGAAGCACUCGGCAGAGAAGCGCGGGAUCAAGGGCUUCGCCGGAGGCGACGCCGUCGACCCCAGCUCUCUUCUCAUCGAAGACUGCGACGUCCUCGUCCCCGCAGCGCUGGGGGGAGUCAUAAACAAGUAAAUCUUCUUCUUCCUAUACUACCUUCUGUUUGCAAAACAUUUUCUACUAAAUGAAAGAUUGUUCUUCACUCCAGGGACAAUGCUAAUGACAUCAAAGCGAAGUACAUCAUCGAGGCCGCGAACCACCCGACAGACCCUGAGGCUGACGAGGCAAGAACAUCGAAACCAUAUACACAUUUGACAGACUUGGCAUGCAUACUGACAGUAAAUUACAAACGUAACCGGAUUGGCUGGUUUUGCAGAUUCUGGCGAAGAAAGGUGUGCUGAUCCUGCCGGACAUCCUGGCGAACUCGGGCGGGGUGACGGUGAGCUACUUCGAGUGGGUGCAGAACAUCCAGGGUUUCAUGUGGGACGAGGAGAAGGUGAACCGGGAGCUGAGGACGUACAUCGCCCGGGCCUUCAGGGACACCAAGGACAUGUGCAGGGCGCACCACUGCGACCUCCGCAUGGGCGCCUUCACCCUCGGCGUCAACCGCGUCGCCCGCGCCACCGUCCUCCGCGGCUGGGAAGCCUGAUUGCUCUCCAGCCGGGAAUGGGAUUCCAUUGGGGAUACAUAAAUCAGGACUCAACAAGAAUGAUUCCAAUAAGUCGUCCAUGUAUGUGUUGUUUUGGCCUCCAUCUAUUGGAUUGGACUCUUGGAGGCUGAUCGAUCGAUCGAUCUUGCCGCCGGGCGCUGUACCAUGUUCUUGCAAUUCGUAGUUGAUUAAACGCAGGAAAUUAAUGUAAUUUCGCUUUCUUGGCAAAACUUUUGGGUCUACCCACUCGUCUGAUCUAUGAAUUUUGGGGACUCGGAAUAAAAUUUGUUGGGAUCUCCCCAUGGCAACAUCAGUCGAGGAAGGAAUUCGUCUUUUUCGAAAGGAAGAGAAAAAACAACAUCAGUGCAGGAGUAGUGGGUCGGUGGAGAUGAAGCUGUAGAUGGCCAUGUCCCUGAGUUGGCCCUCGACGGCGCGGUAGCUCCGCAGCACGGCCUCGCGGCGGAACCCGGCCUCCUCCAGCGCGCGCCGGCUCGCAUCGCCGCCGCCGCCGCGGGCCUCGACCACCGCCUCCACGCGCUCCACGCCUUCCAGGGUUCCGCCGCGAGGAGCGCCGCCAUCGACGAAGACCUCGGCCACCGCCCGCCUCAUGGCCGCCGCGGCCAGGCCCACGCUCCAGCGCGCGCGCGCCAGCACGACCCCGAUCUCCGCCCGGCACCAGUCGUCCGUCGGCGUCACCGCCACCGCGCCAACCACGGCGCCCCCGCCGCCGCUGACGGAGCCGAGGCAGACGGCGCGGACCCAUGGGUGCGGCGGCGCGCUGUCCCCGUCCCGGAGGAACGCGAGCAGGGAUUCACGAGUCGGGCAAGGGCCCGAUGCCCAUGGCAUGGAGGCCGUGACCACGGGGUCCGAUGCCCACGUAAUCACGUCGUCGGCGUCGGCGAGGUCGAACGGCCGGAGUGUCACCACCUUCUCCGCGCGCUCCGGCUCCGGCUCCGGCGUCCCGGCAGCAGGCGCUCCUUGCUCCUCCAUCCCCGAGCCUUGUUUCGCACAAGUCUUGUUUGAGACAAUGGAUGGGAUGGAUGCAGCGGUCGAAUAAAGCUGGCAGCCUAGUACGAAUAAAGUGCUCGCCAGGUCGAUCCAAGACCAAGAGCGACACGUCAACGUCAACGUCAACGAUGCGGGCGAGUCACGUCAUCACAAUACCACGGCUACCUGCCCUGCCGCCCACUGUCUCUUGCGCUUCCAGAAAUGGCAAGAGCCCACUACUGGGUCUGGUUGGUAGCAAACUCAUUUCACCCGAUAGCUAGCUACGCUGAAUCAUUGAUCAGAACAAUCAUCAAUGGUUUCACAUGAAAAGAACUGAAAUUAACAACACGGACAUCAAAUCUUAUUUCACCCGAGAUACUACACGGGCAUUAAACUUGCAAAGUUGCAAUUUUUGGCAAAUGGCAAUGGCAUCAAGCAGGGGAGGAGGUGCGAUUAAUUCACUGCGGCAAGGGGUCGCCGGAGACGAAGCUGAACAUGACGAGGUCCCUGGCACGGCCCUUGAGCCAGUAAUGCUUGCGCAGCACGCCCUCCCGCGUGAACCCGGCCUUCUCCGCCACGCGCUGCGACGCCGCGUUGUCCACGUCCACGAGCGCCUCCACGCGCGCAAGCCCCUCCACCUCGCCGAACACCGCGCCCAGCGCGCGUUUGACGGCGGCCGUGGCCACGCCCUUUCCCCAGUGCGCGCGGGCCAGCACGUAGCCGAGCUCCCCGCGGCAGCGCUCCUCUGGGGACAGAGAAAGGGAGACGAAGCCCACGGGGCGGUCGUCGGCGGCGCUGGCGAGGCAGAUGGCGCGGUACCAGGGGUGAGGGAGCACGGUGUCCCUGAGGUAGGCGAGGACGGGCUCCGUGGACGAGUAGGGCUCCCAGCUGCAGCAGACGGCCACCUCCGGAUCCGAUGCCCAGGAAAUCAUGGCGUCGACGUCUGAGAGGUCGAAGCGCCGGAGGGUCACCUCGACCAUGGCUUGUGCUGGACACUACUACUCCGCUGCUGUGGACAGCACGGGGCACGGAUUCGCUCGUGGGGCGCUUUACCGGUGGAGCGUAGGCAAAGCCGUGUGGGACUGUGGGGUAACUUUGCUAUAAUAUCAUAAGAUUUAAAUAUUGUAUUUUGCUUAGGCGGAAGCGAAGAGAAAAAAAUGAGAAAAGAGGUGGACUCGCUCGUCCCGUAUUAAGUGACUUUCUAAACAUAUUUUAGUACUAGUAAGGUGUCCGUGCGCUGCCACGGAACCACCUUACAUUGCUAAAAAAUCAUAACACCUAUUCUCAUAUUUGAUUUUUACCAAAACUAUUUACUUUAUUAUUUAAUUCCUGGUGACCUAUCUAACAUAAAGCAACAAGAAGUAAUGAACAGACUCUUAAAAGAAAGCUCAUGUCCAUUUGCAAUGAGACUCACAACGAAAAGUUUCAAAAGAUUUUUAUCCUUACUCACAAGGAACACAGCUAUUCAGAUCACAAAAUAACAUAAGUUGUGAUAAAGUAGAAUUACAACAUUUUCAUCCAUAACAGCGACGACAUUUUCCAAUCCACCAUAACAUGAUUUAGGCCACAAGUAGUGCUAAGAGGCCAUAAUAACAAAAUAAAUAUAUGUAAACAUUGAAAGGUGGUUGCAAAAGGUUCAUUUUCAUCGAUGCACACACAGCUGGUGUGUUUUGUGUUUGUCCCUCAAGGCUUCAACUUCUUGCUUUUUCUAGCACCCUUGGCUCAAAAAGUGACUACAAAAGGCUCCUUUCACUGUUUGUGCUGACUUAAAGUAGAUCAACUAAGGUCAUUGUUGAUCUUACAAAAUACACAGAUUUAGUCAAAAUAUUUUAAUAAUAUCCAAAUAAGAUUAAGCAUCACAAGUCAUCACCUCUUCUUCAUCUGACGUGCAACAUCAACAUCUGAACCAAAGUGCACCCAUCUGAAGAUAGUAGUAUGCAGACAUUGCUCUAGUUAAGUAACAACAAUCACACAUUAGAGAAAUCCAUUAGUUAUAUGGUACAUACAUUUAAUUUGUACCCAACCAAAUCCACGGCCAUUCAAUCUACUUUAAGACCUGUGCAUGUUCUAAUUGUGGUGAAUUUUGAAUCUAUCCUCUAGCAUUAAUCUCAAUGUAUCAUGCCAACAUCUGGGGAGACAUAUAAACCACAUGUCAUAAAAUCCAGUUUCCUAGGAUCAAAUCUUCAAAUACUGCAUGAUGUCUCGUUGCAAUCUUAUUGUGCCAGUGAAUCAUAGUAGAGAUAUUGUUCAGCUUUUAUAACAUACCUCAGAUGCAUGAAACUUUUGUGUUGACAUCAAUGCUUAAUAUUUGUUUCACCUUUUACUGACCUGACUCAGUUUCUUUAGUGAAAUAAUUUGUUUUGAUACAGAACGCCACACUUAUUUUAUUGGCACUGCUUUAUGUAUUUAAAUAUUUUUCCAGGUGGUGCUAGUAUCUCGCUAACAUACAUUGCAUCUGAAAGGACAAUUCCUGGGUAAAUAAUGUUCAAAGAUUUAUGGUGAUAAGCUAUCUAUCUAUCCUUACGAGCUGAAGCUGCAAACAACCACUAACAUAUCAUACUUACAACAUGCUUUACUCUCAGCAUGGUAACAAUAACAAUUGUACGCUCCUCAGCACUUCUUGCCCAAGCACGAGUGUGUCCACUUUCCAUUUUGUCCUUCACACGUACGUUCACAAAAUUAAACCUGUAGAUGCACAAAAUAGUUCAGCCAAGACAUAGAAUAAUUCUAUAUUAAUUAUGGAAGAUUCAUGAAUUCAAAUAUAAACAACUAAGCACACAUACUUGUCAUCCAUCAGAAGAAGAUUCCUAAAUGGGAUUCGCCUAUUAUAGAUGCCAUCCGCAAAGGCCACUGAGCUUACAUACAAAACCAUUCCAAUGACAUCUAACAUGGGAUAGACAGAAAAGAGGUCUCAGAACAUUUUUGUUUCUUACAAAUACACUAAAUCAGUAGUAAAGUACACAACUUACCGACAUAGAUGUCAUUAUAAAGAGUGGAUGGGAAAAUUCGAUCACAUGGAAGGAAGGGAGGAAAGAAAGGGAUAGUCCCUUCACCCAUGUUUCUCAUCUCAAACACUUGAGUGACGGAAGUGAAACGACAUUCAUAAGGAUUAUCAACAAACAUUCAUCGCUGCGUACUUGAAAUUGGUUCAACAGACAUCAUCGACACAUAAUAGGCUAUGCCUUCUUUAAGUAAUGGAUCUAAACAAUCAACUUGGUCAUCAUAUAUGGUGGCAGCCAUCUUUGUGCCCUAUCGGAACGAAAAAAAACUUACAUACUGCAUGAUCUAUAAAUAUACAACAACUCAUAAGUGGAAAUAUGUGCACACAUUACCUCUGCAUCCAACAGAACAAAGUUGACCCUCUUCCUACCAUGUCCAAUUCUCUCAACAUGAAACUUGUGGUAUACUCGGAGGCAUAAACUCCAUCUGGUGCCGUGAUGGACAUCCUUCAGAGUUGGGAUACGUGGUGCACAAACUCUUUGGCGCUUCAUGCUAAAAAAACACAAUCAAUGAAAAUGCUGAGUCCAUAUAUGAACAGGCAAUACCAAUCAUGGGAAGGACAGGAAGAUAAAACACAUAAAAGUUUAGCAGGUAACUUUCCAUGGAAAAAUUUCAUGCAUCACAUGGUAAAAUUAAACCUGACUACAAACACCAUGAGUUAUACUAUGUAGGGCUCUUCAAGAGAUCACAUUUGAAAAAGAUAAGAAUCAUCUGAUAGACAAUGAAGUUUUCAGAUAAUAGCAUGCAUCUAUGAAAUGUAAUUCAUUGUUAUACUGCUACAAAUCAGGAAUGAAUAUGCCAAUGCUACAGAAAAGGUGAGAGGAGACGACCUGUUAUUUGGUGAUGGUGCUACAGUGCAAUGGAGAGAGACACUCUACUUCGGUGGUGCUUGUGCACCUGAGGAGGAAAGUGCUCUUGAGGAAAGGAAGGCAGAGGUUAGCACCAUUUAUAUAGAAGGGUGAAUGUGAAGAUUGGAGCGUGCUAAUGGCAUGGUUCAGGGAGAGAAGAUGUAGACUGAGCAGAAGCAAAAGAUAUGGUCAAGAUAGACUUACCAGCUAGCAGGAGCUCCUUUCCCAUCCGCAAACUGCUGCCUAGCUAGGUCGCAUCCAGAGUGAUUGGUGCUCUACCCCUGCAAGGAGAGAACAGCAUAUUGGGGAGCACAUACAUUGACAGGUCGAAGUUGUUGACAGUUCCCAUGGAGAGAUAGAUAGGGGGGAGGCAGAUUGGGGAGGGGAGCCAGAGCAGGAACCAGAUCUUCGAUUGAACACUGGAGAGAGAUAGGGGCUGGGGAGAGACUGAGGGGAUCUAUUUAGAUUUAGAACUGGCUCGGGAGAGAGAGAGAGAGAGGACUUACUUGGAUUAUAUAACAUCAGGGAAGAGAGAGAGAUUUGAUUUUUUGGUUCUGUCGAAGUCACUUUCACUGUACUGAAGUUUAAAAACAAUUGUAAGAAGGGUUAUAAAAUAUUCUACUUGGGUUGGGAACUUGGGCCUACAUAAAACUAAUCGAUUGCAAACAUGGGGAAAUGGUGAAACAAAAGAAAGGGCAAAGCAAUACUAGGUCAAACCAGACUGUAACAUAGCUAUAGCAUGCAGGGACUCUUUCUUUUUUCAAAUGGGAAACAUAGCUAUAGGCAUUCAAGUACAUUGUGUCAGCAACAUCUAUAUACACGCCAAACCUUUUAUUUUUGUACCAACUUUUUUUGCAGAAUAGGUAAAGACCCUAAUACGAAAAUAAGAAUGUUGUGUUUUUGGUUCAUGUCAAUGUGUUUUUGGCCAGUAGCACCACAAAGACUACACGCUAUCUAAGUAAUAGUAGAACUAAAAUUAGCAGAACAGAGGAGGGGGCUGUAGGUAGAUAACCAGAGGCCUGCUAAAAGCUCAAAGAUAAUCGAUUGCAUGUCUAGGGAAGGGGUGAAUGAAAGACCAUGAAAGAGAGAGGAAGUGACUGAGACAUGUCAUACUAUACAAUAGCCGUAGGCAUUUAUUUAUUUAUUAUUGAAACAGGAAACAUAGCUAUGCAUUCAAGUACAUUGUGUUACCAACAUCUAGGUUCAGAUCCAGCAAUGUGAUAGUGCAUUUUUUGCUUGUAUAAUGGCACUGCAACUGUGCAACUGCACAAGCAUUUGCAAUCUAAUACAGUACACGAUACGACAGGCAACAUGAAAGAUCAAGAAGAAACAAAGUUUUGGAACAGCCAGCCAGCUCAUAGGAAAUCGACAUUGAUCUUAAUUAAUAUAAACUAACAACAAAAACAUCAGAGAAUUGAUUGAAUAAAAGAACUAAUAGCAGGCAAGGCAAAAUUAUUAUGUUUCCAUGAUCUGCACCCUCUCUUUGUGCAUAUAGCAGAUCCAUAAGGUGGCUUUUCUUACCUGCCUCAUGUACAAACUCAACUCGCCGGGCAAUCAACUCACUACUUGACCCCAUUCUUCCAACAGCCAGGAAUAUGUAAUUCUCCUGAAAGUCAGAUGCAUUCUCUGUAUUCAUUAGAAAUCAACUCAAUGUAUUUUACAAUGCAAAUUAAAAUUGACAAAAGAAUUGCAACUUAUCAUAGGAAAAAUAAUUGGACAACUCAAAAUAAGUCAGCCGGACAUGAAUUAUCAAAUGAUAGUAUGAUCGGACCAAAAAUAGAAAGAGCCAAACUCACUUUCGCAUAUACAAGUGAAUGGACAUAGCUCCUCCUGGAAUAUCAACCGCAGUCCAAAACAGAGGAACUCCUUAAUUGGAAGUACAGAGUUCGAUGACCACUAGCACAUUUUGGUGUCCCUCAUGAAUGCUCCUGUGAAACAGAAACCAUGCUCUGCUUUUAGAAAAUGACGGACUGGAACUUACAAGAUGAGUUGAAUGAACAAGAUUCUCUAGAGAUGAGAGAAGAGAAAAUAACUGCAAGGUAAAGUUCAGUUAAUCUUCUAAAGAUAGCAAAGUACACAACAAAAUUUAAAGGCUAGCAUAACAUUUUUUUUUGUCACUUUUGUUCAGUUCAUGUAUCUCUAUUAUGCUUUUGUUAUGUACAUAUCUCUCAUUCCUCCAAAACACUACAAAAUCUGAAAGCACAUAGAAAUAUAAUAGCACAUUCGAUCAUUACUGUCAUAAAGAAAUUAUUGAGCCAGGGAAUGAGCAAGCUCCCAAUUAAUAGGAUAAAAAAAGAGGUCGUUAAGAACAUGACACAUUACGGAGAAUGUACAUCAAAAUCGAGCUCCCUUUUACAUAUAUGAGUAAAAAGUAUGUACAACUGCUUGUGGCCUUCUACAUGGUAACCUUUUUACCAUUGGCUCAAAUGUCUACGUUGUGAGGACUUCCUUGUACACUAUGUUUCACGUAAUUGUCCCUUGAGACUUGGACAGAAAAUCGUUGCCCUUUUUGCCAUUUCCAGCGGUGUCUAGGAUCUUUCGAGUUUUUGUUCCUCUAGACUAAGUACACAACAAAAUUUAAAGGCUAGCAUAACAUGUUUUUGUCACUUUUGUUCAGCUCAUGUAUCUCUGUUAUGCUUUUGUUCUGUACAUAUCUCUCAUUCCACCAAAACACUACAAAAUCUGAAAGCACAUAGAAAUAUAAUAGCACAUUCGAUCAUUACUGCCAUAAAGAAAUUAUUGAGCCACGGAAUGAGCAAGCUCCCAAUUAAUAGGAUAAAAAAAACAGGUCGUUAAGAACAUGACACAUUACGGAGAAUGUACAUCAAAAUCGAGCUCCCUUGUACAUAUAUGAGUAAAAAGUAUGUACAACUGCUUGUGGCCUUCUACAUGGUAACCUUUUUACCAUUGGCUCAAAUGUCUAUGUUGUGAGGACUUCCCUGUACACUAUGUUUCGCGUAAUUGUCCCUUGAGACUUGGCUGACUUGGACAGCAAAUCGUUGCCCUUUUUGCCAUUUCCAGCGGUGUCUAGGAUCUUUCGAGUUUUUGUUCCUCUAGACUUUCUAGAUUUGGAUCGGACAUCCCUGUCACAAUUAGAGAUGGCUAAUAUAUUUAUAUUUCUUCUAGCGGUGGCUCUAGACAGCGCGACGUAUAACUGGCCGUGGGAGAAAACAGGAUCAGGCAGGUAAACACCAACAUUAGGAAUGGUCUGCCCUUGUGCCUUGUUGAUUGUCAUAGCAAAACUUAGCCUUAUUGGAAAUUGCUUCCUCUUAAACCGAAAAGGGAACAUCUCAUCAUCGGAGGGGCACAAGGGAAUACGAGGGAGGAAUACCCUCUUUCCAGCAUGUUGUCCUAGCACAAUCUCAACAUCGAUAGGAUUUUUUUGAAACCCCCGAACAACCAACCUUGUUCCGUUGCAUAGUCCAUUAACAGGGUCGAUGUUCCACAGAAGUAUAACUAGGCAGUUAAUCUUCAGCUUUAGAACAUGUGGAGGAAGCCCAUUUGGAGUGAGUGAGUUGAGAAAUUCAGAGGGGUAGUAGUUGUGGGGAUCAUCCUUCGCCCGAUCGAAGCUGUGAUAUACCAUCUCUUGACCUUGAAAACGCUCUAUCAUCCUCAAGUUUAUCAUGUCGACAUUUUCAUUCUUGGUCGAUAGAAUUGCUCAAGAUGUGAUGUAAUUCGGGUCGGUCAGGUUCUCAUCUAGACAAGGAAAGGCAUGUUCAAUUAGCUUGUCGAGGUUAGCGUCCUUCCCAGUACACGGCACACAAAUUUAUUGAGGCAGGCAAAUGUUGCUAUCCUCGCCUGUCUCCUCGGUGCCAUUCCUGACACGUAGCAAGAAAUCUGCAAACCACUCAUCGUUCUGUGCCCUCAUGUUACGAAUGAGCUUGAGUUGUCGCAUGCUUUCCCAUAGGUAUGACAUGCGCAAAGUCGCAUCGGUAAUCUGGGGCCUCGUCCCCUUCCGGACAACUGGGAGGACCUGCCUAAAGUCCCCGCCAAACACAACGGUCUUCCCCCCAAAUGGCAGGUCAUGUCGGCCCAUUAUAUCCCGCAUGCUAUUAUCGAGUGCCUCAACUGCCUGGCGCUUUGUCAUAGAGGCCUUGUCCCAUAUUAUGAGAGAUGCCAUGCGAAGGAGCUUGGCCGUCCCACUCUGCUUCGUAAAGCUACAUGUUGCGCCUUCGUCGAUGUUGAGCGGGAUCUUAAACCUUGAGUGUGCGGUCCUGCCUCCAGGCAUGAUAGAUGCUGCAACUCCCGAUGUCGCAAUUGCCACAGCCAUCUUGCCCUCGCUGCGAACCUUCGCAAGUAAUGCUUUAUAUAAAAAAGUCUUCCCAGUGCCUCCCGGGCCAUCUACAAAGAAGACACCUCCAUUGCCACUAUCGAUGGCGGAUAAUAUCUCAUCGUAGGUAGAUUUUUGCUCGAGGUUAAGGGAGGAUGCUAGAGAAGCGUGCUCAAUGUCUACCUCGAUUGAGGACUCCUCAAUGAUCUCUCUAGCCUCGCCAUCGAUAGUGUCAUGCGACUCAUCAAUGUUGGGCAAAGGGAACAACGUUAUGUCUUUUCCCAUCGAUUGCAGCAUGUUCCUGAUGUCUAGCAACACCUUCUGCUCCACUAUGUGUGGGCAUGUGUGGAUCUGUCGAUAGUCCUCUGACAUUGACCUAGGUGCUUAUCCCAGAGCCCGCACACAUCGCUAGCCUCGCAAAACACCAAGAUAGUUGCAAAGAGCCUACGCAACGAGGAUGGCAUCUGGAAUAGCUCAGCCUCUGUAAGACAUUCGUCAAGGGUGUUGUCAGCUUCAACGAGACCCCUUCUUUCAGCGGCUUCUCGGAAGCUUGGGCAAAGGACACCAUCCACCGUCCUCAGGUCUUCGAACGAUGUCGAUCCGGUCACAUGGUUUAACAACACCCUCAUGUAGUACCGUUCUCCCUCAGCAGGAUGAGCCGACACGAUUCUGCCAACCUGGAACUAUUCCGUCCUCGUUUUCCAUAUUUUAGGGGUCGCGUGCCAUACAAACUUUUCUGGGAAAUCCUUGUAUAGAAUUCCUCGAGCCUUCGGAAUUGUCCUGUUAGCCUCAAAAUACUCUGUGAGCAUUGUCUUGGAUGCACCCUCACGAGUGACGACAUCAUUCAGAUCAUGGUCCACGUUAAACGAGAUCAUGUGCAUGUCUGGGAGAUGAAGUUGCACUUUCUUCACAGAUGGGAAGUUUUCACUUCCUCCAUAGUGCCUCUGGUGGUGUAACCCACCUCGCAUCUAAGUAUCUCUUGAUCUCAUCAAUGUCGCCAUUACUAUCAGGCUCAUCAAGAGAGGCCGAAGUUCGAUCGUGCCCCUUGUAUAUGUACUUGUAAAGGUACUUAACGGCCUUUAUGCUAGAGCACACCUCAACAUUGAUAUGACAAUUGUACAUCCUCAGGAGGUAAGGGUUAUAUGGCACAACCCACCUGUUAUCUAGAAUUUUCCCUCGGACUUGUGCUCGACGAUGGUCAUCACGUCUCUGGUAAAGGGGGUACGAGUCCUUUCCUUGGACGGUAGUCGUGUUAAAAGGACGUGGGUACCGAUUCUUGCAACAUCCAUCCUGCAUGCACACGUUCUUGGGGUUUAAGACCCCGCAAGGCCCGUGCAUCAUAUGCUUUAUUACCAUCGCAUAUAGCUCUGGAUACUUAUGCUUGUCUGGAAGCUCAGUUGAGAUGAGGCGAUCAUAUUGCUCUGGAGUUGUGAGCUUGUAUCCGGACUCCAUGAUCAACAGGAAGUGAGCAUGUGGGAGGCCUCUCUUUUGGAACUCAAUUACAUACACAUACGCAAUUACCUUGCCGAGGAUGCGCUUCUUGAAUAGCUGCUUCUUUAGGUCCUCCAACUUAGCUUUGAAUACUCUAACAAUGAGAUUAGGGCGGUCUUGUGGGGUUUGGCCAGGUUCUAGUGCACAAACUAUCUCUUCCCAAUUGGGAUUGCAGGUCAUUGCAAGGAAGAUAUUUGGCUUUCCGUACUUUUGGACUAAUGCCAUGACAUCCAUGUUGAAAGAUCGGUAUGGUCGACUAGAGGGGGGGGGGGUGAAUAGGAGACUAACAAAUUUUAGCUUUUCCUUUUCUUUUCUUAAAAGAUACAAACACUUAAUCCUAGGGUUUCUAAAUUCUCUAAAGUGAAUGCAAUCCUAGAAUGAAAUGCAAUAGCCGAAGCAACAAUAUAUAGUAAGAAUGUAAAGGGGAAAUGAUACCACACGUGGAGACGAAGAUUUCACCGGAGUUCCACCUAUUGGGAAUGGUGUACGUCACCGUUUGGAGGAGUGCUCUACCACAAAGGUAGAGACGCCACGAAAGCUCACUCUAUUCUUCAACUCACCAUAGCACAAAGAUGGGAUGAGCUCUCACAACACCACAAAGGUGAGCUGAGUUCCACUAAUGGCUUCCUUGAGGGCGAACGCUGAACCCUUACAAACUUGACCGGGGCAAACUCCACAAUUCAAUAGGAGGCUCUCAAUCUAAGCCUCAAGCUCCUCAUACACCAAGGGAGAGCUUGAGGUGACCGCUUCCGUCUAGAGUUCCCAACAACCCAAGAGAAACGAAAUCCACAAGAAAACAAGGGGAAUCAACUUUUUGACUUGGUGAAACUCUAGAGCAAGAUCUUCUCCUCCAAUCCUCAAAGAAUCACUGGUUGGAGUGGCUAGGGAGGGAGAUCUUGGAGAUUUGAGCCUUUUGUGUUCUUUGGGUGAGAGGGGCUGUUCUUGGCUGUGAAAACGGUCAGCUAGCUCGUUGGGGACGAAGGGGUAUAUAUAUGAGGUCCCUAAAAUCAAGCCGUUAUGCACUGCGCAGAAACAGGCCGGAACUUCCGGUCAUAGCCGGAACUUCCGGUGAGACGGAAGUUCCGCAUAUUACCGGAAGUUCCGCAUAUUCUGCCGAUCCUAACAAAGAGUGACCGGAGGUUGGGGCGGAAGUUCCGUCCGGAACUUCCGCCACCUGGACUGCAGGCAGAACACAACAUGCUGAGUUUUAGUUGUUCUCUCUCACUUUUGGGGGUAGGCCUUUUAGUGGGUGCAAAUUGUGUAGUUGUGUACGUGAAAUUGAUUCACCCAUUACCUUCCCUUGUGGAUUCCCUCUUAAUAGUACGGAUGUCCUAUGACUCAAAUCAAAACGAAAAAGCCGCUAACACCGUUACGCUUCAUAGCAUCUUGAGGGUCCACAACAACGUCUUGUGCUAAUUUCUUUAUGAAAUCUGAAAUACUUGACACACGAUUAGAUACACAACAUGUUGUCAUCACCAUCAAAACCACUUAGGAGAGAAAUGCCCUUUCAAUCUCCCCCUUUUUGGUGAAUGAUGACAACACAAAGAUUUGCAUAAAGAUAAACAAUUAAACUAGAUGCAAAGGAAAUAAAAUAUAGACGGGCUCCCCCUAGGUGUAUGCACCAAUUAUAUUUGCUUGAAAUGCAACGUGCACAUACACUAGGAUCAACACUCCCCCUAGAUUUUAAGAACCAAAAAAGUCAAUUACAAAUGAAUAAGGAUGUUUCAAUAAUAGUUUCACAAAGAUAUGUAGGAAUCAUUCAUAGAAGGAUGUAGAGCAUACCUCUCCUAGGCAUAUCAAGAUUGAAUGAACCCUACAAGGACUUAUCCAACAAGAUAUCGCACAAAGCUUCCAAGAAGCAUAAUGUAUUAGAUAAGUCCCAAUCAAAUGAAAUCAUACCUUUGCAAAGAGAUCUUGUGAAGGAGCAACUUUCUAAGGGCACAACUAAACAACAUCUCCACACAAGAUAAGUAAGACAUGAUAUAAUCAAUAACCACCAUGCAUAAGAAAAGUUCACAUGUCUCACAAGAAUACCACGACGGGUAUUCCACACACAUAAAGUCUUACAAACUCACAAACACGAAUAAAAACAGUUCAAUAAAGCAUAAAACUCAUGCAAAUCCCGACGACUAACACUACUCUCCCCCUUUGACAUCAAGACACCAAAAAGGGAAGAAUCGUCCCAAAGGAGAGCAAACAAAUUACUUCGUGUCUUCAUCAUCGUCACCACUUGCAGCGGGCACACUGUCUUCAUCUUCUCCUCCUUCAUCGUCUUCUUCUUCCUCAACCUCCCAUUGAACCGGUGAGGGGAGGUGACCAUCAUCACGGUUCCAAUCACCAUGUGUACUCUUGAAGGCGUCAAAAGACUCAAUAUCUGACACGGGAGAGCUGGGCAAAUUCAGAGCAUCCAUGAUGGCGGUUUGGCGCUUGAGGAUCCUCUAAUUCUCCUUGUGAAGUCGAUAAAUCUUCCUCCCAUUUGAUUGUUGCAUGCAAAAGAGCUUCCUAAGCAUGCUUUUCCAACCACCUUCCUUAUGGUGAGCACGAGAAGAGCUAGAGGCGGGGGCAUAAUCAAAAUCCAUAGGAUCUUCUUCCUCCUCAUCAUCACUCUCCUCAAGUGAUUGACGAUUGGUCGGAGGUGGGCGUUGGUGCCUUUUCUUCUCGAGAGUCUUGAUAGGGUGUGGCUUCAAAUCCAAAUCUGUCAGGUGAGGUGCCUUAGCAAGGAUGAGCUUCAUCACAAAUGGAGCAAAUGGGGGCACCCACCUAGCAAGAAUAGCAUAGUAUAGCUCAUGCCACAGAAAAUCCAUCACAUCAAAUGGAGUAUCACCAUCCUUCCUUAGAUGUGUCUCAAGCAUAAGAUUGACCAAAUAGCCAUGCAUCUCAUCGGUGUUCCCGGUCUUGCACGCUAUGGUCUCUCGGUAAAUGCACUGCAUGAUAUCAUAGACAGGCUGCAGAUACUUUGUCUCACUUGGCUUAACCCUCCCUGGCAUGUAAAGCGGUGCAAGCACAGCCUUGUCCUUAGCAGGCUGAUGGUGAACUCGAAAGCCCGAAGGAGUGACAAGUCCAGCACCAGGAUAACCAAGCAAGGUAGCAAACUCUGCCCAAGUAGCCUCGCACAAGUGAGUUCCUGACAUCCAUGUAGCCUUCCUUUCUUCUUCAGUUUCUUCCAAGUGCACAGAGGUGAAGAACUGACCCACAAGAUACUCAUCAUAGGGUUGACCCAACCGCAUGAUAGGGAAAAGCUUGAACUUGCGGCAAAUGGAGAGAGCAUCACCAAAGUAAUCUAGCUUCUUCUUCAUAUCUCCAACAUUGAUAUGGCAUUGAGGAACAACCUUGGUAGCUAAACAGUCAUAAAUCUCCUCAAAGAUACGGAUUUGAAAGUUGGUAUGGAAAUCACGAUUACCACCCUUGAGGUUCCACUCUGGAGAAUUCAGAAAGGAAUUCUUGAACCUCUCUUCUUCAAAAACUUUCUCAGGAUACUGCUUGAUAUGAAAAGGUCGCUUCUUUCCUGAGGAUCUCUUAGACUUCCCACCACCUUUGUUCGUUGGACCUUCAAGCUCAGAGCGGAUGAUUUCUGAACGCCGCUUUCCCGGAAGGUGAGUUGGUGAUAAUUGCUCCACGGCCUUGCCCUUGCCUUUGUUCUGAGAACCAGAGACUUCUGUGAAAGAAAAAGGUACGGGGGACAAAGGGUAAGUACUCUAGACAAGUAGGGUAUGAGAAUCAAUCACAUGGAACUAAAAUAGUAUUAGAAAAUUGCUACAGGAACCGGAAGUUCCGGGUCACCCGAGAACCGGAUGAACCCUAGCUUCCAAAUCUGAAGCAAUUAGCCAAUACUAUUCGAGAUCCAUGCAACCUAUUCAACACAUUCUACCUAGACAACGAAUUCCACCACAAAUUUCAACCAAAUUGCCUCUAAUUUCAUCGGAUUCAAACAAACCCUAGAAAAGAAGAAAAGAGGCAUUACUUGUUCUUCCCAUCGGUGGAGAUCGAAGAGAACGAGGGCACGAAGGAGAUUAGGAGCAGGGAGACCGGAUCUUUCGGUUGGAAUCCAAUCGGAGCUUGGAGGCGAAGUCCUUGGGUUUGUGGGGAAGAAGGAGAAUAGGGGUCGGGCGGGGUGAGGAAAUAACUCCUCACCCGUUCAGCCCCCAAAAAUACAGGCCGAACAGGGGGCGGAACUUCCGGUCGGAACCGGAACUUCCGCUGAUCCCAGAAAAAGACAGCUCCAGGGGGGGCGGAACUUCCGGUCGGAGUCGGAACUUCCGCCGAGCCCAGAACCAGACAGGGGAAACAAAAGAUUGGAAUUUUUGAGCAAUUAGAAUACAAAUGUUUCUAGAUAAGAUAGGCCUGGGAUGGAAAACACAAAGUUGGGAUUAUAUUAUGGCAUUAUACACUCAAAUUGCAAAAAGCAAAUUCAAAAUACCAAUUAUGAGUAUAUUUCCAUAGAUAGACAUAUAAUGUCAUAUAUCGACUAAAAAGAUUUGCAAGGAAUUAAAAUUACCACCUCACAAAAGUGAGGGCGGUGGCCUAGGCAACCAUAUUUGAGUAUGUAUGAGCUUGACACCGAGAAUAUAGAUUCUUGGGCUCAAGACUCAAAGAAGCUCAAUGUAUGAAAUUAAUGUUAGCAUAGUAAGAGUAGCAUUUUUCCAUGAAUUGAGCUAUGCUCCCCCUAUAUCCAUGCGCACAUCCAAACUAGACAAAUGUUAACCGUGGGUACGGGUGCAAGUUUAUCAAACCACAACACUAGAAUCUAGGAUAUUUAGCUCAUGCCUUAACUCCCGAAAUCUUGCUUCAUCAAGUGGCUUCGUGAAAAUAUCCGCUAGUUGCAUACCGGUGGCAACAUAAGAGAGAUCAAUAUCACCAUGGGCCACGUGCUCUGGAAUGAAAUGAUGAUGAAUCUCAAUAUGCUUCGUCUUGCUAUGUUGCACGGGGUCGUGGGCUAUCUUGAUUGCACUCUCGUUGUCACAUAAAAGAGGCACACUUUCACAAGUGAUUCCAUAGUCCAAUAAUGUUUGCCUCAUCCAUAAUAAUUGUGCACAACAACUUGCGGCGGCUAUAUACUCGGCUUCCCUCGUGGAGAGAGACACACAAUUUUGCUUUUUAGAAAACCAACUCACCAAAGACCUAUCAAGAAAUUGGCAUGUCCCGGAAGUUGACUUCCUAUCCACUUUGUCUCCCGCCCAAUCCGAGUCUGAAUAUCCCAUGAGCUUGAAACUUGAUCCUUUAGGAUACCAUAAACCAAACUUUGGGGUAUGAACCAAAUAUCUAAAGAUUCUUUUGACUGCCACUAAGUGGCUUUCUUUUGGUGCGGAUUGAUAUCUUGCACAAAUACCCACACUUAACAUAAUAUCCGGUCUAGAUGCACAAAGGUAAAGCAAGGAACCAAUCAUAGAACGAUAUACCUUUUGAUCCACAUCUUUACCAUUGGGAUCUAGAUCAAGAGGGCUUGAUGUAGGCAUUGGGGUAUUGGCACUCUUGGCAUCAUGCAUCUUGAAUCUCUUUAGCAUGUCUUGGGUGUAUUUGGCUUGAUUAAUAAAGAUUCCUCCUCUCAAUUGCUUGAUUUCAAAUCCAAGGAAGAACUCCAAUUUACCCAUCAUAGACAUCUCAAACUUUUCGGUCAUUAGCUUGGCAAAUUGAUCAUAGAACACACCAUUAGUAGAACCAAAUAUGAUGUCAUCAACAUAUAGUUGGCAUAUAAACAAAUCAUCACCAACCAUGUUAGUAAAAAGAGUGGGGUCAAUAACCCCAAUUUCAAAGCCACGAUCCACUAGUAGCUCCUUUAGGUGCUCAUACCAAGCUCGAGGUGCCUGUUUGAGGCCAUAAAAGGCUUUAUCAAGUUUGUACACGUGGUUAGGAAAUUGAGGGUCCUCAAAUCCCGGUGGUUGUUUGACAUAUACCAUCUCAUUUAGUGGACCAUUUAGAAAUGCAUUUUUCACAUCCAUUUGUUGCAAAGUAAUGUUAUGAUGCGAUGCAUAUGCAAGCAAGAUACGAAUAGAUUCAAGGCGAGCAACGGGAACGGAAGUUUCACCGUAGUCAAUACCCUCGACUUGGGAGAAACCUUGAACCACCAAUGUUGCCUUGUUCCUUGUCACUUGUCCAAGAGCAUGUUGCUUGUUCUUGAAUAUCCAUUUGGUGCCAAUGACAUUCUUGCAAUCUUUUGGUCUUUCCACCAAUAACCAUACUCUAUUGCGCUUGAAGUUAUUCAACUCUUCAUGCAUGGCAUUAAGCCAAUCCGGAUCCUCGAGAGCUUCUUGUACCUUUUUGGGCUCAACACAAGAGACAAAAGCAUGAUGUUUACAAAAGUUAGCUAAUUGUCUACGAGUAGUUAUCCUUUUCCUCACACUUCCUAGGACAUUGUCCAAAGUAUGUUCUUGACGUUGAAGUCGUGAGGCAAUCUUCAAGGCCCGAUGUUUCAUAGCUUCUUGAGAUAAAUCUUGAGGCUCAAUGGAAGUUUGAACAUCUUGAAGAUCUUGAUCUUGGACAUCAUUUGGUGAAGAAUCACCAACAUCAACAUUUGCUUGAACUUGUCCUUAAUCAACUUGUUCAUCUACAGGAGGAACUUGUUCUUGUUCUUGGUUAGCUUGUGGAUCUUGUGGAGAUGAGGGCUCCACUUGAGUAGAGCAUUAUCCUUCUCCUUCUUCCAUACGGGGAUCGUCAACAGGCAUAAUUUGACCUAUGCCCAUUCUUCGUAUGGCUUGGGGAGGAAUUUCAUCAUCUACAUCCACAACAUCAACUUGUCCCACAUGGGAGCCAUUAUUCUCAUCAAACUCCACAUUACAAGAUUCUUCAACACAUCUGGUGGAUUUGUUGUAGACUCUAUAAGUGUGGGAGUUUGAUGCAUAGCCAACAAAUAUGCCCUCAUAAGUUUUAGGCUCAAAUUUAGAUAAACGGACACCUUUCUUAAGCAUGAAACACUUACAACCAAAUACCCGAAAGUACUUGAGGUUGGGCUUGCGUCCCGUGAGAAUUUCAUAAGGUGUCUUGUUCAAUAUCUUGCGGAGAUCGAGGCGAUUAGUAGCAUGGCAUGCGGUGUUGAUUGCUUCGACCUAAAAGUUGUAUGGAGACUUGAACUCCGCCAACAUUGUCCUCGCCGCAUCCAUGAGAGUUCUAUUCUUCCUCUCCGCUACACCAUUUUGUUGAGGGGUAUACACAGCGGAAUAUUGUCUUUUGAUACCCUCAUCACUCAAAAACUCAAUCAAGGUGUAAUUCUUGAACUCGGAGCCAUUAUCACUCCUAAUAGCCAUAAUCUUGGCAUUGUAUUGGCGUUGGGCUUCAUUUGCAAAGUCGAUGACGGUUUGUUGGGUCUCAUUCUUGUGCUUGAAGAAAUAUACCCAAGUGUAUCUAGAAUAUUCAUCAAAAAUAACCAAACAAUAUUUCUUACCACCAAGACUAUCAUAUGUAGGAGGACCGAAGAGAUCCAUAUGAAGGAGCUCCAAAGGCGUCGUUGAUGUGAUAAUUGUCUUGUGGUGAUGUGACUUCUCAUGUAACUUCCCUUCAAUACAAGCACUACACACACGGUUUUUAUUAAAUGAAACAUUGGUUAGUCCUAGCACAUGCUCACAUUUGAGGAGGCUUUGCAAAGAUCUCGUAUUGACAUGGGCUAGACGGCGAUGCCAUAGCCAACCCACAUCAGUUUUAGCCAUUAGACAUGUUUCUUCUCUAGUGAGUUUCUUACCAAAGUCUACCACAUAGAGACCACUUUCCACAUAUCCAACAAAGGCUAUUUUAAGAGUCUUGCUCCACAAAAGGGUCACACUAGUUGUUGCAAAGAAGGAAUAAAAACCCAUAUGUGCAAGUUGAAGUACCGAAAGUAAAUUGUAUGAAAGGGACUCAACAAGCAUGACAUUCUCGAUGGAUGUAUCCGGAGAGAUAACAACCUUGCCUAGUCCCAAUAUCUUUGAUUGUGAAGAAUCUCCAAAUGUAACUUGCUUGGACCUUGAUGUACUCAUUUUGGCGUCCACAAGCAAUUCUUUGACUCCGGUCAUAUGAUUAGUGCAUCCACUAUCCACUAUUCAUGAAGAUCCACCGGAAGCAACCUCCUACAAGUUUAAACUUUGGUUUUAGGUACCCAUCUUUGAAUGGGUCUUUUAGCGUUAGCAACAAGGGUCUUAGGAACCCAAAUAGACCAAUGAACAUAUCAUAAGGAGAACCAACAAAUUUGGCAUAAACAUGCCCAUCAUUAGUAUGACAAAGAACAUAUGAGAGAUUGAAAUCCCCGGCAUAACUAUCAUACGUGGCCUUGCCACCCUUCUUGUUCUUUGGCUUCUUCUUGGCUGCCUCCCAUUCCUUCACAAAAUAAGCAUUAGUGCGGGGAGGUGCCUUGGCCUUCUUGUAGUUGUUGCUCUUCUCAUUGGGGUUGUACCCAAUUCCCUCCAAUCCAAAAGCUUUUCUAUGAUCAUUCAAAAGAUCAUGGAGGUUCUUCUCGCGUUGGAAGCAAGUGGCUAGACCCUUUUCAAGUUGAGCCUUCAACCUAGCAUUUUCCUCAAUCAUAGAUGUAUGCUUACAACAAGGGUUAGUUGCAGCAUUUUUAUCAUUAGAAAUUAAUUCCUUAACAAGAGAAUAUAGAAGAUGAUCACAAGACUCUUUGAGAAACUUGCAUUCACUUGUCAAAGACUUGUGAUCCUUUCCAAGUCUGUCAAAGUCUUCAAGGUGGUUCCUAUGACCAUUCUCAACUUCACAUAUCCUACACAAGUACUCAUUAGCAAGGGAAAUAGCAUUAUCAUAGGAAUCUUUAACUUUAGCAAGUUCCUUAGAAAGUAACUUCUCAAUUGCUUCCCUAUUUGCUUGUUCUUCCUCAAGAGCUUCAUUAAGCUCCGCAAUCUCAUGAGCGGCAACGCACUCAAGUAUUACCUUUUCAUCCAUGAGCUCAUCAUGUUCUUCAAUAAUAGCUUGAGCUUCACCUAGUUUUUCCAAGAGGUCCUCAAACCUCUUUUUGGUCUCACCUUCCAAGCUUGCCAUGAAGAUUUCGAACUCAUUCAUGCUAUGCUUAACAACACUACUCUCCUCCACACAAUCAAAUAGAGAUAAACUCUUAGGAAUGACAUGUUUGGUGGGAUGAGAGAUUACCGAAGAGGUCUUGGCCAUAAGGCACUUGGGUGAGCGGUUCUUGUUCUCAUUGGGGGAGUCGAAGAGAGAUGAAAGUGAAGAAUCAAUAGCAAUGUUUGCCUUCUCCGUGGACUCUUCAUCAUCAUCAUCUUCGUCACCCGAAGUAUAUUCUUCUUGAACAAGAAGCAUUAUUGGUUGCCUCUUCUUCGUUGGCUUCUUCUGGAAGGAGGGCUUGGUCUUCCCCGUAAGUAUAAGGCGUCCACCAUUCUCCUCCCUCUUCUCAUAAAUACACUCUGCAACGAAAUGGUCAUUGUUACCACAAUUAUAACAUUUACGAGAUCUUUGACCUUUGGGCUUGGAGCUUGAAGCUCCCUUGUUGUUGUAGAAGUUGUUAGGGUUGAAGGUGUUGGUCUUGACAAACUUCUUGUUCUUCCAAAAGGCUUGAGCCGCAAGAGCCAUGUGGUCACUAAACUCAUAGUUGCAAUUUUCUUCCGUGAUCUCAACCUCUUCUUGUUGGGGCACUUCACAUGGAGUUGAGGUGGGAGUCACGUUGGCCUUCAAUGCAGGGCUUGAGCUUUGUGAGAGAAACUUGGCUCGAAUGAGGUUGUCCUCGGAUGUCUUCUUGAGAAUAUCCAUAGCUACAAACUCUCCCAUCACUUGACUUGGAGUCAAGCUAUAGUAGUCCGUUCUUUGCCUAAUCAUUGCGGCAUGAACCUCACGGUGUGGGGAGAUGGCUUCUAUGAAUAGACGCUCAAGCCAUUCAUCAUUGAUGUUACGACUUCCAUGGUCCUUCAUCUUGGCUCCAAUAGUGAUGACUCUCCUAUAUAGCUCAUCCGGAACCUCUCCCAUCCUUGAUGAAGAAAUUUUUGCAUUCGUUGAUGACCACUUCAAACUUUGACUUCCUAACACUCUCAUUGUUGUCAAAGUGGUCACCAAUGAGCUUCCAAACAUCUCUAGCAGAAUCAACACCACGGACAAAUGUUCUAUACUCCAAGGGUCGAGCCUUUAGGAGUAUUCCAAUGGCAUGCUCAUUGAGUUGAUUGUCGACAUACUCUCUUGGUGACAAGUUCUUUGGAUCAUGAACAAAGUAACCUUCUUCAACAAUUCUCCACAACUCCGUUGAUGUGCUCUUGAAGUGAGUCCUCAUGCAAUGAAACCAAUCAACGUAAUUAGUAGAGGUUAGCAUGGGGGGUUCUCCUUGAUUAUACAUAGGUGGUAAAUUAUGGUGGCGAUGAUUAUAUUGAGGUGGUGGAGCCACCUCACUAUACAACCCAUAGCCACCCCUACCUUGGGAUUUGGUAGCACUCUCUUCGAUAGCCUUAGCCUUGUUACGGGCUUCGGCAUCUGAAUAUUUCUUAGUCAAAUUCACCGCACUUGGUGGCUUGGCAUAGAAAGGCUCGGUAGAAGACGAAGAGGCUUUGUUAGGUAGGUGCUCACUAAUCUUUUUUUCCACCAUAUCUAGAAUAAAUUUUUGCAUGCUAUCCAAAAGCAAUUUGAUGGAUUUAAAAGUUAGUGAAGCAUUAUUAUCUAACACCUCGGUUUCUUGGGGUUUCACAGUGGGUUCCCCAUCAUUGCCGGCCAUACUCUUAAGAGCAGUAAAGCCCUAAUUAAGAGACGAGGCUCUGAUACCAAUUGAAAGAUCGGUAUGGUCGACUAGAGCAGGGGGAGGGGGGGUGAAUAGGAGACUAACAAAUUUAAGCUUUUCUUUUUCUUUUCUUGAAAGAUACAAACACUUAAUCCUAGGGUUUUCUAAUUCUCUAAAGUGAAUGCAACCCUAGAAUGAAAUGCAAUAGCCGAAGCAACAAUAUAUAGUAAGAAUGUAAAGGGGAAAUGAUACCACACGUGGAGACGAAGAUUUCACCGGAGUUUCACCUACUGGGAUCGGUGUACGUCUCCGUUUGGAGGAGUGCUCUACCACAAAGGUAGAGAUGCCACGAAGGCUCACUCUAUUCUCCAACUCACCACACCACAAAGGUGGGAUGAGCUCUCACAACACCACAAAGGUGAGGUGAGUUCCACUAAUGGCUUUCUUGAGGGCGAACGCUGAACCCUUACAAACUUGACCGGGGCAAACUCCACGAUUCAAUAGGAGGCUCCCAAUCCAAGCCUCAAGCUCCUCAUACACCAAGGGAGAGCUUGAGGUGACCGCUUUCGUCUAGGGUUCCCAACAACCCAAGAGAAAUGAAAUUCACAAAGAAAACAAGGAGAAUCAACUUUUUGACUUGGUGGAACCCUAGAGCAAGAUCUUCUCCUCCAAUCCUCAAAGAAUUAAGAGUUGGGAGUGGCUAGGGAGGGAGAUCUUGGAGAUUUGAGCUUUUUGUGUUCUUGGGUUGAGAGGGGCUGUUCUUGGCGGUGAAAACGGCUAGCUAGCUCGUUGGGGACGAAGGGGUAUAUAUAUGGGGUCCCUAAAAUCGAGCCGUUAUGCACUGCAGAGACAGGCCGGAACUUUCGUUCAUAGCCGGAACUUCUGGUGAGACGGAAGUUCCGCAUAUUACCAGAAGUUCCACAUAUUCUGCCGAUCCUAACAGAGAGUGACCGGAGGUUGGGGCGGAAGUUCCGGCCGGAACUUCCGCCACGUGGACUGCAGGCAGAACACAACAUGCUGAGUUUUAGUUGUUCUCUCUCACUUUUUGGGGUAGGCCUUUUAGUGGGUGCAAAUUGUGUAGUUGUGUACGUGAAAUUGAUUCAUCCAUUACCUUCCCUUGUGAAUUCCCUCUUAAUAGUACGGAUGUCCUACGACUCAACUCAAAACGAAAACGCCGCUAACACCUUUACGCUUCAUAGCAUCUUGAGGGUCCACAACAACGUCUUGUGAUAAUUUCUUUAUGAAAUCUGAAAUACUUGACUCACGAUUAGAUACACAACAUGUUGUCAUCACCAUCAAAACCACUUAGGAGAGAAAUGCCCUUUCACAUGUGCCUCCGCUUCAUAUCCCUAUAGCUCCCUUGGAAUGAUCCAGGCAGUACCGUCCUUUUGCCCACCACAUUUGCACGACUCUCUCCGGCAGUGAUGCUAUCCAUGACGCCUUUAUAUAGGUCAGCUCAUAUCUCUUUUUGGUGAUUCCUGAUCCAGUAUAGCCUUGUGCCCUCCACCUUGAUAUACAUGUCAACAGCGAAUUCUUGGAAUAGACGCUGGCCAUGCAAUAAGAAUUUGUUAGCACUUUUUCCGUAUAUAUUUUAAACUUUGUUUUAAUAAUAUAGAAUAUAUAGAAAGGUUUUCCAUUUAAAUCUAUUUAUCUAUAUAUUUAUAUAUCAAGGAUACUCCAUAUAUAGAUAUACGGUACGGAAGUCUAUCCCCCAUAUAAGACGAGGGGGUAAAAAGAACGGAAAAUGCAAAUAUUUAAUUUAUUUAAUUAAGUUAAGAAUGGUAUUCCAUAAUGGAAUUCGAAUUAAAAAACAAAAAAUACUGAGUCUCUUAAACAAGACAUUAUAAAACUUAGGUAAUUAUAGCAAUUAUGAUUUUAGUUCUCUAAACAAGAGAGCUGCUUCAUCUUUGUUUUAAAGAAAUAGAAAAAUGAAUAGAAAGUUAAAUGAUUCCACUUUUUUGUUCAUAAAUAUCCUUAUUUAGAUAAUAACUAGGUAACGAAGUUAGUUGAUUAACGUUUUGAAUUUAACCAACUAAACCCAUUCUUAAUUUUGGAUUAUUUCAAUGAUAUAAAUUUUCAAAAAUUAAGAAUUCCAGUAUUUUUUCUUAUUUUUUUUCCUUAUUAUUUAUUCCUUCAGAAAGAGAUAAGAAUUGGUUUGGUGAAUCAGAAACAAUUUUUUUAUAAAAAAUUGAAGUAAAAAUUUCAAGUAAAAAUUUCAAGUAAAAAUUGUAAUUUCUUUUCUUAUGGAACAUACAUUUCAAUAUGCUUGGGUAAUCCCUCUUCUCCCACUUCCAGUUAUUCUGUCAAUGGGGUUUGGCCUUUUUCUUAUUCCGAUCACAACAAAAAAAAUUCGUCGCAUAUGGGCUUUUCCUAGUGUUUUACUCUUUAGUAUAGCUAUGGUAUUCUCAGUUCAAUUGUCUAUUCAACAAAUAAAUGGAAGUUCUAUCUAUCAAUAUGUAUGGUCUUGGACCAUCAAUAAUGAUUUUUCCUUAGAAUUUGGAUACUUGAUUGACCCGCUUACUUCGAUUAUGUUAAUGCUAAUUACUACUGUAGGAAUCCUGGUUCUUAUUUAUAGUGAUGGUUAUAUGUCUCAUGAUGAAGGAUAUUUGAGAUUUUUUAUUUAUAUUAGUUUUUUCAAUAUUUCCAUGUUGGGAUUGGUUACUAGUUCAAAUUUGAUACAGAUUUUUUUUUUUUGGGAACUUGUGGGAAUGUGUUCCUAUUUAUUGAUAGGCUUUUGGUUUACACGACCAAUCGCAGCGAGCGCUUGUCAAAAAGCUUUUGUAACUAAUCGUAUAGGUGAUUUUGGUCUUUUAUUAGGAAUUUUAGGUUUUUUUUGGAUAACAGGUAGUUUAGAAUUUAGGGAUUUGUUCCAAACAGCUAAUAACUGGAUUCCUAAUAAUGGGACGACCUCUUUACUUACUACUUUAUGUGCUUUUUUAUUAUUCCUUGGGGCAGUUGCGAAAUCCGCACAAUUCCCUCUUCACGUAUGGUUACCCGAUGCAAUUGAGGGACCCACUCCCAUUUCGGCUCUUAUAUUAGUUCGUUGCAAUUGUCAACCGGUCCUAUCGAAAGUAGGAGUGGCUAUGGAUUCGAGCCAUAGCACAUGGUUUCAUAAAAUCUGUAUGAUUUUCCUGAUCUAAAUCGAGCAGGUUUCCAUGAAGAAGAUCUUGUUCAGCAUGUUCUAUUCGAUACUGGUAGGAGAAGAACCCGACUCAGUAUUCUUAAAAAUAGAGGGGAAGCAGAACCAAGUCAAGAUGAUAUGGGUCGCCCCUUCUUCUUGCGCCAAAGAUCUUACCAUU